AUGGAAAAAGUCUUUUUACGUGUAAUCAAACAAGUAAUAAAAGGAGAAUAUGAGCCUCAGUUAGGCCAUCCACCUCAGCUUGGAAAAUCGUCCAAUAGGGAGGUUGCUUUUUGCCACGUCGGCAUCUGUGGGUCCCCACUCAAUAAAAUCUGAUUUUAAUAAUGAGCUCUGUGAUUUAUGAAAUGGAUUUCCUAAACUGUCUACGCCAGUCGCCAACUCUAUGUUUUGUAAAAAUAUUGAGCCUAAAUCUUUUCAAACCUUACUCUAUCAUAUUUUCAUUUUAAUAUAAAAUAAAAUGAUAACCCAAGAACUCAAAAGAAAACAGCCCACAGAAAAGUUUGUCGACAUAGAAAAAGGAUCGCCAGUGCUCACUAUUCUUCGUAUUCUUCCACUUUCCUCAAUCGUAUCGUCGCCAUUGAAAGCAAAAGAAGCUCGUACACUGAAAAGCCAAAAGACCAACGUUUCAUCUACAGCUUAAAAAAUCGUUUUCAAUCCAAAACUUCUCAUUCAAUUCCAAAUCAUUUACCUCACUAUUUAUCAUCACUGUAAUUCCCACUCCGGUCGUUUCAUGUUUAUGUCAACUUCCUUUAUAAAUUUAGGGUUAGAAACUCGGACCACACCCCAUCAUAAAAAACUGCACUCAUCAAAUACAGCCCUCUAUUAGUCACCGUUCCUGCUUCCGCGCCUUACGUCACUUUAGACAAUCGGCAUCUCGGACGGUCUUCCCAACAGAUUUUUGAGCCACGCAUCCGUUUCUGGUGAAUUUUCGGAAUCUAAAGAUGGCGUGGUGAGUCUCGCGACUUUCCCUGAUAUCCACCCCGAUUCUAGAGAAGCUCUUUGGUCCACGUAUUCAUCCAAGCAGCAUGAGCCAACCACUACCGGCAUAUCUUAGAAGAAGGUCUCAACUUCAACAUUGGAUCACAGAGUUUUCAAAGUCUUACGAUGACCAAACUCUACAAAAUCAUCAACCACUCUUUCAUCAUCUGAUUCAUCCCUUCCACAACAACCACCAGCUUGACUACCUUCAAGCACCGGAACACCUAAUCAGCGAUAAGGUGAGGUUGCAUAUUUGACAACUGACAAGGACAAUGUGGAGACUGACACUACAAGAAAACGUGCCCAUAACAACGAACAUUUACGACGAAAAUAUUUCGUCGUAAAUUUACAUGGUCUUUACAACGAAAUUACGAGGAAUCUAACUUUCGUCGUAAACGCCAUGUA